AUAACACUUAGAAAUAGGUGCUAAUACCGCAUAAGCGCACAGAGCCGCAUGGCUCAGUGUGAAAAACUCCGGUGGUGUAAGAUGGAUCCGCGUCUGAUUAGCUGGUUGGCGGGGUAGAAGCCCACCAAGGCGACGAUCAGUAGCCGGCCUGAGAGGGUGAACGGCCACAUUGGGACUGAGACACGGCCCAAACUCCUACGGGAGGCAGCAGUGGGGAAUAUUGCACAAUGGGGGAAACCCUGAUGCAGCAACGCCGCGUGAGUGAAGAAGUCAUUCGUGAUGUAAAGCUCUAUCAGCAGGGAAGAAAAUGACGGUACCUGAGUAAGAAGCCCCGGCUAACUACGUGCCAGCAGCCGCGGUAAUACGUAGGGGGCAAGCGUUAUUCGGAUUUACUGGGUGUAAAGGGAGCGUAGACGGCCAGACAAGUCUGAAGUGAAAAUCCAGCGCUUAACGUUGGAAGUGCUUUGGAAACUGCCGGGCUAGAGUGCAGGAGGGGCAGGCGGAAUUCCUAGUGUAGCGGUGAAAUGCGUAGAUAUUAGGAGGAACACCAGUGGCGAAGGCGGCCUGCUGGACUGCAACUGACGUUGAGGCUCGAAGGCGUGGGGAGCAAACAGGAUUAGAUACCCUGGUAGUCCACGCGGUAAACGAUGAUUACUAGGUGUCGGGGGGCUAGAGCCCUUCGGUG
rnacentral:rRNA from 1 species